UACGUAGGGACCAAGCGUUGUCCGGAUUUAUUGGGCGUAAAGGGCGCGUAGGCGGGCCAGCAAGUCAGGGGUGAAAGCCCACGGCUCAACCGUGGAAGUGCCUCUGAUACUGUUGGCCUCGAGGGAGGUAGGGGCGUGCGGAACUUCCGGUGGAGCGGUGAAAUGCGUAGAUAUCGGAAGGAACAUCGGUGGCGAAAGCGGCGCGCUGGACCUCUACUGACGCUGAGGCGCGAAAGCCAGGGGAGCAAACGGG
rnacentral:rRNA from 1 species